UCGAGGAAUGUAGAAAUUAUCUGAUAAGAGGAUGACAAAAAUAAAUCAAAUUUGUAGCUACUGCAAUAAAUAGACACAUGUGCUGCUACUCAGCGAUAGCAAUUGGAUUUUCCUAGAAAUUAAUUGGAAAUCAUUAAUGAAUUUUAAUUAUUUCUUAUUCCUGGAAAUCCGCAUUAUAUGAAUUUAGAACGUGUUUAAAGUGAGUGAACUUGACAAAUUUAAUAAAUCACUUUCUGAUUAGACAUUUAUAUUUAAAAUAAAAGUAUAUUUUUAAAAACUAAUCACACUUCAAAUUUUUGUUGUGAUUAUAAUCCAAAACAAUGUUGGAAAGAGUACUCAUCGGCAUUCGUAUGAAGGGCUUUAGUCAUAUAAGUCGUAUUGGAACUUUUAUCGCUGCAAAGCUUCAAAAAGCAAUCAAGUUCUGAGUGCCGACAGUUCUCAGUCGAUUGUACUGUUAUGCAAACAGAAGGACCAGACCGGACCGGAUCGGAUCGGAUCGGGGGACUUUAUAGCCUCACCUGAACUGAAGUUAAGCUGACAAAAUGCACUUCAACUGGAAUCACCUUAAAUGGCAGACAACACACGUUCUUUUGGCUUAUUGCGUUUUAUGGUUUAUUCCCUUAGUUGGCAAAACUUUUCAUCGGAAACCAUUUGACUGGUACAUAAUUUAGAUACCACAUAUUGAUCUUUGUCAGUGACCAAUUGUUCGCCCAACAGUCGCCACUGGUCGUUCAGGAGAGGUUCGUGAACAUGGUGCAGAAUCUCAAUCAAAAAUUGCUCCUUUUCGAGAUAGUAACGAUUGCCUUUAAGGUGGUCUGACGCACACUUUGGUGGCUUUUUGGAAUGGCAUGUGGACCUCCGACGAUCGUCAAUGGCGAAAUGUGUAACCGAGCAGAAAUGAAUCAUCAGAGAGGCCCAGGGUCCAAGACUGAACCCCAAAAAAAGUAAUGCCAACCCAGACGGCUGGGCCCCAAUCAGUAGUCGGCUGUUUUUUAAUAAGGCAGGCGACAAACAAAAAAUAAAAUUGGGUCAGCCGAGAUAAAAACGCAGCUAAGAAUUCAUCUUAUCUUAUGUAUUUUAUUGUUUGAACUUUAAACCAUAAUAUAAAUUAAGUCUCUAAGUAGACUAGACUUCAAGAGUACUUCCUUGUUUUCAACUAUCUUUUUUUGAGACCCCGACAAAGUUAACCUUAACGAGCUGAAAGCGCCAAAUCAUCGCGAGGAUUAACACCAAUCGUCGGAAUCAGAACCGCUGCGGAUAUCAUCUCACCUGGCCCACCUGAAAAGUUCCCAUCGUUCCACGUGAUUUGUUCUGUGUCAGUUACCAUUUCUGCGUGUGACAAAUUUACGGGGAGUGACUUUCGUAAAUUGCAUUUUAAUAAUUUUGUGGAAAUGCUUAAUCACGACAGAGGUUGAAUGAGAACACCGAAUAACCGAUUGCGUUGAAGGCAAAUCCAAAUUUGGAAAUGUUCGAUUUGUUAUAUUAUCUUUUAUUCAUGUCUCCCUGCAGUCUGCCGUGGCAGAUAUCUAAAAAUAACAAACAAAAAUGAGAUAAAAUAGUGUAAACAAAAUUGUUAUUUCCCUUUUGUUGGGGAGAGAGAAUUCUUGGCGUUUAUAAAUACAACUGCCGUACGAUUGUCAAAGUUGACAAUUUAUUUUUAAUCAGGCAAAAACUCAGAAACGACGCAUAUCUGCCAGAUACACUCGGCAUAUCUUGCAGAUACAUUUCAAGAGGGGAUGAGCACUUGAUUAAAGAAUAGAUCCAAAGGGGUAGAUCACUUUGCAGAGGAAUUUGUGUGUGCAGAUUCUUGUUAAAAUUAAAUAGUUCAAGAUUUUUAUUUUCUUUUUAUUUUUCUAUAAAUUAUAUAUGAUAUUCCCACUAUUAUAGCUCUCCCAUGCGGACAAGGCCCAGCGCUAACCCAUUUAGGAGUUGAUCGCACUGACCCAGAAGCUCUUCCCAGCCAAGCGAAUCGCUUGCCCUGGAGAACCACUGACCAUCCCCACCAGAUCCUAUCCCUUUGGCGGCUUGGCCCUUGAUCAGAGAGAGUGUCAAAGAGGUUGGGCACUUACUGGAGCAUAAAUGAGCUGCGGAUCGGUCAGUUUCCGAGAUUUCGCUUUCGUUUUGCGGAUCGAUUUCAGCGGUGGAAGGCGGGCGAUUGCACAGUGACUCUGUUUAACCGAGGAUUUUGGUUUUUUUUAAAUUUUUUUGAUCAACAUUGGAGAACAAUUACAGUAAUUCCAAUUAAUACACGGCACUGGAUCGGCUUCCUUUGGCCACUAUCUCGCAGAUGUGGCGCGUGCUGCAUGCCAGCCCAGCAUCUAUCUGUAUCUGGGAGAUACUCGCCCAUCGAGCUGCACUUAUUAUUGUCCAUCUAUUUGUCUUUGAUCAAUCUCGGCUCCAGUUCCAGUUGCAGUUGCAGUUGUAGCAGCAACCAGUAGCUGAAAGUCUCGGACCCGCAAUUAUAAAUGACUGUGCCAGCUUGGAGAGCUGGCCACUAUAAUUGCCCCAAAGGGGAAAUCAGCAGCAGUAACUAACAACUUUGUAUCUGCAACAUGGACACGCUAACUGCCCCAGCAGUUGCAACUCCAGAGACAGUCGAAAUAGAUACGGGGCGUUCUAUGACUUUUAUCGCACAAUUCUGACUAACUGCAGGCUAUGUUCUGAUGAGGGUAAUCCAAGUGGUACCGGAUUGGGAUCUGCAGAUUGGGUUGCAUCGCUCAUAUUCAAAAUUAACCAACGAUCUACAUAACUGUUCUCCUUUCUACUUCAUACUCUAGCUGAGGGUAUUAUACCAAUCUCCAAAGGUGUGCAACUCUUUGAAGGCGACAUCUCCAACUUUAUAAAGCAAAUAAACGUAUUUCUCACCGAAGAUAUCUAUAUCUUUGCUUAUGAUCAUCCGAUUAUUGAGCGGUAUACCUAAAUCGAUUUGUAGAUCGAUUUUCCACAAAUCUGAAUCAUAAUUUUUGAACAUAAUUUUUUUUUAGAUUUUUUGUCAAAUCUCCUGGGGGCUCCCUUCGAAAAUCUAAAAUCUCCAUGGAGCCACUAUAUGGGCCACCGCGAAGGCUAUAUCUGUGGCAAUAAUAAUCCGAUUCUUGAGCGGAAUACCUUAAUCGAUUUUAAGAUCGAUUCUUUACAAAUCUGCUUCAAAA